rnacentral:rRNA from 1 species
UACGUAGGGUGCAAGCGUUGCCCGGAAUUAUUGGGCGUAAAGAGCUCGUAGGCGGUCUGUUGCGUCGGCUGUGAAAACCCGGGGCUCAACCCCGGGCCUGCAGCCGAUACGGGCAGACUAGAGUUCGGCAGGGGAGACUGGAAUUCCUGGUGUAGCGGUGAAAUGCGCAGAUAUCAGGAGGAACACCGGUGGCGAAGGCGGUUCUCUGGGCAUGUCCUGACGCUGAGGAGCGAAAGCGUGGGGAGCGAACAGG